AAUUAACAUAUCACCUGCAAACCUAUUGUACAGAACAGAAGUAAAAUGGUGGCAUUUAAUAUCCGUUGAAGUGGUGGAGUGGGGGGGGGGGGCUCUUGGUCUCGCCUACCACCUCCCAAAUGUACUAUAAUUUAUGCAUGUAUAUUGAUGGACACAAACUGUGAGGCAGUGCCUACAAAAUCAUAGAACUCGAAGAUCAUAUCAAGCUUGUUAGCUUAAAUGCAUGUCCUCGUGUUUUACUUAAUCUGUAUUGUUUUGACUUUGUCAUGAGUUUUAGAAGGUUUUCGAUGAAAUGAAAAUUCAUUGCAGAAAUGGUAAAUGAAAUUGUAAUAUGAAUUGCAAAUUAAGUUGACAUUGUGUGAGAAAUGAGUUAAUGCUGACACUAUUCUAUUUUGUUUGGCAGUUUCAUUUUGAAAAACAAUUAGCUAACAAAUUGUUUUGAAAAUAAAAGUUAAAGAAGGCC
rnacentral:sRNA from 1 species